UACGUAGGGGCCAAGCGUUGUCCGGAUUUAUUGGGCGUAAAGAGCUCGUAGGCGGUUCGGCAAGUCAGCUGUGAAAUCUCCACGCUCAACGUGGAGGGGUCAGCUGAUACUGCUGUGACUCGAGUCCGGUAGGGGAGUGUGGAAUUCCCGGUGUAGCGGUGAAAUGCGCAGAUAUCAGGAGGAACACCGGUGGCGAAGGCGGGAUCCUGGGCCAGUACUGACGCUGAGGAGCGAAAGCGUGGGGAGCAAACAGG
rnacentral:rRNA from 1 species